AAAGUCUGUAAAACAAUCACAGGCUUUCUGAAUUGUUCAGUGAAUUCCAUUCAGCUCACUGCUGCUCUUUAUUAUAUAUUAUGCUGAUUGAUAAUAUUCCUGUGUUUUUCUGUCUUUCCUGAUCUUAUCAGCUCACCAGUCUUCAGGAUUUUUUCGGGGAUGAUGACGUGUUCAUCGCCUGCGGCCUCGAGAAGUUCCGUUACGCGCAGGACGAUGCUGCGAUCGGACACGCAGGAAAACCCUCAGCAGCGGCCUUCGUUAAUGAGUGUAAGAUGAAAUCGUCGAAGUCGGCGACUCCUGUAAAGCCGCCCUCAGGUCUGACUAAAAGCUCUCUAGUGACCAGAUCAAAAUCACCGGUUUCAGGCAGUGAUGUAUCAGGAGCUCCCACCCCAGUGAUGAAACCACCGAAGACCCCGAGCAGCUCGGGCAGCCUGAAGAUUUCCUCUCGCCACGUCUCUCCCUCCCCUCCCCCCUCCGGAGAACUGAACGGUGCAGAAGACUUUAGCUUAGAAGGUAACACACACACACACACACACACAAAUACACACACCGCACUUAUCUUCCACAUAUAAGCCUGAGCAGGUUGCCGCAUAUGGCGAAUUCAAGCUGCAUGAAGCUCAAAUCCACUUAUUUAUUCCACUGGGAGACAGCUGCAU
rnacentral:lncRNA from 1 species